rfam:Schistosoma curassoni strain Dakar, Senegal genome assembly, scaffold: SCTD_scaffold0007425
GCACUGGUGAGGAGUCUCAAAAUAGGACGAAACGGCCGUCCAGUAC